rnacentral:rRNA from 1 species
UACGAAGGGGGCUAGCGUUGUUCGGAUUUAUUGGGCGUAAAGAGCUCGUAGGCGGCUUGUCGCGUCGUCCGUGAAAACUUGGGGCUCAACCCCAAGCUUGCGGUCGAUACGGGCAGGCUCGAGUUCGGUAGGGGAGACUGGAAUUCCUGGUGUAGCGGUGAAAUGCGCAGAUAUCAGGAGGAACACCGGUGGCGAAGGCGGGUCUCUGGGCCGUAACUGACGCUGAGGAGCGAAAGCAUGGGGAGCGAACAGG